UGAGGAAUUUUGCGCAAUGGGGGAAACCCUGACGCAGCAACGCCGCGUGAGUGAUGAAGGCCUUCGGGACGUAAAGCUCUGUCAAGCGGGAAGAAAUUCCCUAAGGCAAAUAGUCAUGGGGAUUGACGGUACCGUUGAAGGAAGCACCGGCUAACUCCGUGCCAGCAGCAGCGGUAAUACGGAGGGUGCAAGCGUUAUUCGGACUCAUUGGGUGUAAAGCGCGUGUAGGCGGCUCGGUAAGUCAGAUGUGAAAGCUCAAGGCUUAAC
rnacentral:rRNA from 1 species